rnacentral:tRNA from 1 species
AAGGAUUUAAGUUAAAUAAACUAUCAGCCUUCAAAGCCGAAAUUAGAAACCUUUCUAAGCCUUA